UCGAGCGGAUGAAGGGAGCUUGCUCCUGGAUUCAGCGGCGGACGGGUGAGUAAUGCCUAGGAAUCUGCCUGGUAGUGGGGGAUAACGUCCGGAAACGGGCGCUAAUACCGCAUACGUCCUGAGGGAGAAAGUGGGGGAUCUUCGGACCUCACGCUAUCAGAUGAGCCUAGGUCGGAUUAGCUAGUUGGUGGGGUAAAGGCCUACCAAGGCGACGAUCCGUAACUGGUCUGAGAGGAUGAUCAGUCACACUGGAACUGAGACACGGUCCAGACUCCUACGGGAGGCAGCAGUGGGGAAUAUUGGACAAUGGGCGAAAGCCUGAUCCAGCCAUGCCGCGUGUGUGAAGAAGGUCUUCGGAUUGUAAAGCACUUUAAGUUGGGAGGAAGGGCAGUAAGUUAAUACCUUGCUGUUUUGACGUUACCAACAGAAUAAGCACCGGCUAACUUCGUGCCAGCAGCCGCGGUAAUACGAAGGGUGCAAGCGUUAAUCGGAAUUACUGGGCGUAAAGCGCGCGUAGGUGGUUCAGCAAGUUGGAUGUGAAAUCCCCGGGCUCAACCUGGGAACUGCAUCCAAAACUACUGAGCUAGAGUACGGUAGAGGGUGGUGGAAUUUCCUGUGUAGCGGUGAAAUGCGUAGAUAUAGGAAGGAACACCAGUGGCGAAGGCGACCACCUGGACUGAUACUGACACUGAGGUGCG
rnacentral:rRNA from 1 species